AGAGCCUACGGGGGGCAGCAGUGGGGGAUAUUGCACAAUGGGGGAAACCCUGAUGCAGCGACACCGCGUGGGUGAAGAAGCGCUUCGGCGUGUAAAGCCCUAUCAGUGGGGAAGAAAAAGGACGGUACCCGAAGAAGAAGCACCGGCUAAAUACGUGCCAGCAGCCGCGGUAAUACGUAUGGCGCAAGCGUUAUCCGGAAUGACUGGGUGUAAAGGGAGCGGAGACGGUUGUACAAGUCUGAUGUGAAAGCCAACGGCUCCACUGUGGGAGGGCUUUGGACACU
rnacentral:rRNA from 1 species